AUAGUUAACCUAAAAAUGAACUAUUUUUUAAUGUUGCAGAGCCAAAUCCUCCUCAGAAUCUCACAGUAACAGCUGUCACGUCCAGUCAGAUUGCAUUGUGUUGGAAUGCCCCCGAUUCUACCCAUAAUGCUCGGUUUGAGCACUUCAUCCUGCACUGGGUGGAUCUAGUCUCUGGCAGAGGCCUUGCCAUUCACUUGGAAAAGUUGAAUCGGAGUGCUGUGAUUGGUGGGUUGAAGGCAUAUCGUGCCCACAGGAUCACAGUUGUGUCUGUCACAGCUCAAGGUGUGGAAAGCUCUGACAGUCUGUCCGUGACUGUUAUCACAGAGGUUAGUCCUCCACGCAGGGUCUCAGCUGAUGCUGUGGGUCUGGAGAACAUGACUGUGUGCUGGUGGCCUUCACUGCACGAGGAAGUUGAUCAAUACUACAUCAAGCUCCACCCACAAACAAAUCAGGCUCAAACUAGAGAAUUCUGGGUAAAUGACUCCACCUGCAUCUCUCUUACACAGCUCAAAUCAGGUGGGACAUAUGAAGUGGGAGUGGCUGCAGUGAAGGGCAGAAACAUGAGCGUAGUGACAACCAUACAACAGACUCUAAGUAUGAUUCAUUAAUGUUUUUAUCUUCUAUUUCCUCAACAAUGCUUCUUUUUCAGUCUACAGAAUGCCUUUUUGAUUCUUCUUUCAGAACCUGACAGCAUCCAGAUUGCUGUCCCAUACACAGUUAGCACACAUUCUGUGGAGCUCUUUGUGCAGAUGCCCAGAAACAGCAUUUAUGAUGGCGUCACCAUUACUUACCAGAAUAAUCGAUCCUGGACGCCAGUGUCCAAAGACAGCACCAAACUGUUAGUCGACAACCUAAGUCCAGGAACACAGUAUGACUUUAAUGUGUUUGUGACCAGCAGAGACACGAGCAGUGAAGGCUUUGUUCUGCCACCUGUGAGAACCUGUUUGGCUCCGCCCACUCAUGUGCGUGCUGGUGUUGUGACUGACAGCUCUAUAGAGCUUCUGUGGGACGGGGCUGAGGGGGGCAGCCACCAUUAUGAGGCGCUGUGUAUGAACUGUGCUGACUCUGUCAUGGUACGAUCCUGUGUGUGAGUACACAUCCUGUGUAUGAUGUCUGUGUUUCUUCUCUUACAUACUAUAAAUGACAACA
rnacentral:lncRNA from 1 species